AUUUAUUCAGAACAUCCUGAUCUUUAAAAACAAAACAACAACAACAAAAAACACCACCAUCCCAUGGUCGCAGUGACAGAAGGAUCGAAGAUUGGUCUUGAUCUUGACCUCUGAUAGAUGUGCCGGCAUCACUGUGUGUCUUGUAAAUUAACCACUUACGGGCCGGCUCUGCGGUUGCUCUGCAUUUGGGGCUCCCAUAUAAAUCAAUGGAAGAUACAUGCUACAAAAUUGGAGCCUUCAUGUGCAGGAUUAUUGCUUGCCUCCUUUCUGGAUUUCAUCCAAUUUACCAACACUGGGGAAAUCGCACCGAAGCCCCAUGCAAGUGGUGCCUUCAGUUUUCAUGAGCGAAGCCUUCUUUCUGUAAGUACCACUGUUUAUUUUGUUUUUCUCCGUGUACUUAUAUUUCUCAGGCCCUAGAGCAGGAUUGAGAGCUCAGUUCUGUAAUCAUAAAGAAUCAAAAAAGGCUUUGGUCUUCACAUCUUGUUCUAGCUAAUAGCGCAUCUUGAGACAUGCAGAACAUAAGUACAAGGCAUAGAGUGGAGUGCAAUCCAUAACAAACAGUGAAAUCAUGUGCAACUGACUUAUUUAAUCAAUUCAUUUUCUCAGGCCUGGCCACAGGUUAAAACAAUAUAUAUUCUCUCUAUUAUUUUCAUUUCACACAUUAAGGUUAUGUCACUGAUUUUUUCUACCUUUGGAUGAUACUUCAAAAGCAUAAAGAAAUGCUUUUGUGUAUACAUGAGUUAGUUCAGCCACUUUUCCCCCUUAAGAUAUCUAGGAGCAAUUCCUUUUUACUUUUGUUGUACAAGUGUUCAUAUAAUGCAAAUAUGAGGAAUUAAGCCCCCUGGCUUUUAGGGCAUAUAUAAAAGUGUUCUGGUGUUAAUUAAUUUUUACUUUUUCCAGUCCUGAAAAUUAGCUGUAAUAAUUAAGCACAAGCAUGGCGAUUCUCUCUCUAAAUCAUUGAUUAUUUUCAUGUUUAGGAUUCUUUUUUUCCCUUGAAAUAUCUUGUUUUAUGUUUGAACAUAGAUGCUAAUUGUGCUCAGUGAACCAUGUCUGAGGAUUUAUUUUAUGAAAAAGGAAUUUAUUAUAUCUCACUAGUAAAUAAUAAAUACUAAUAUGUCACAGGAAAAGUAAUUUUA
rnacentral:lncRNA from 1 species